rnacentral:lncRNA from 1 species
AUGACAAUAAAUACAAGCAAGCCCAACACCCGAGGAGACUGCUGGGAACCGACAGGACAGACAGCCCAGCCACAGAGAGGAGAAGAGGCCAAGAGGAGGAUGGGGGAGAGGGAGAUGGAUGUAGAGCAGAGCAAGAAGGUGAAAUAUGCUGAUAGAGCGUACCAAAAGAGAUUGAUAGAGAAAAGAGAGGGUGAAAUGGAAGAGCUGGAUUUGAACCAGGGACUGAAUAGCCCUUAACUGUUCUAUGGGGCCAGAUCCAUAAUGAUUACAUUUACUUUGGAAAUGUAGUAAUGGAUUCCCCCAUUAAGCGUGGGGGAAUCCACUUUACAAAAUAAAGAUUCUACAUAAAAUAUCGGUUUGCACUCGGUUUCCUAAACUACGGCCCACACUCUGUUCAGAGGUGCUAAGUACUCUCGGCCGUCAAACGCUAUUGGUGUGUCCGAGCCUUUAGCUCUGAUGGCUCCGAAAACUACGCCAACGGGGUUCAGUCAGUCAGUCAGACUACAGAACAGAUUUCAUCCUUCCCUCUCAAAUGUGUCAACUUGUCUGUAACAACCUGUGCCUUCUGAGCUGGUGGUGGGCACUUACUGACUACUGCACAAAUAUCCCCCCCCAUACCUCCAUCCACCAUUUGUCCCAGGCAGAGACUGUUUGUCACAAAUGGUUCUGUCUUUGACCACACUGCUUGUUCCCCUUAUAUGGUAUCUGGCGAGUUUGGGAAGAGAGAGGACCUUAGUUUAGUCUGAGAGUUGUUUUGUGGUCAGAUUCCUGCUAUCAUGAAAAAAAAGCAAUACAUUUUGGAAACAGAUCUGAUACCAUUUUCCCAAUUUAACCCCUAAGAAGCUGCAUAGCAAAACCACUGUCAUAAACUAAGUGAAGUUCAGUUUAUCGUCUUGAUAAAUAGAUAGAGUUCAACUACAUAAAACAGUGGUGAAAUGCCAUAUAUACUGUCAUGGGGUGAAACAAUGAGUGAAGUUAAGAUGAGUGAGGUCAAGUCAUGUGAAGGAAUGCGUGAUAC